rnacentral:rRNA from 1 species
GACGAACGCUGGCGGCGUGCUUAACACAUGCAAGUCGAACGGAAAGGCCCUGCUUUUGUGGGGUGCUCGAGUGGCGAACGGGUGAGUAACACGUGAGUAACCUGCCCUUGACUUUGGGAUAACUUCAGGAAACUGGGGCUAAUACCGGAUAGGAGCUCCUGCUGCAUGGUGGGGGUUGGAAAGUUUCGGCGGUUGGGGAUGGACUCGCGGCUUAUCAGCUUGUUGGUGGGGUAGUGGCUUACCAAGGCUUUGACGGGUAGCCGGCCUGAGAGGGUGACCGGCCACAUUGGGACUGAGAUACGGCCCAGACUCAUACGGGAGGCAGCAGUGGGGAAUAUUGCACAAUGGGCGGAAGCCUGAUGCAGCAACGCCGCGUGCGGGAUGACGGCCUUCGGGUUGUAAACCGCUUUCGCCUGUGACGAAGCGUGAGUGACGGUAAUGGGUAAAGAAACACCGGCUAACUACGU